rnacentral:ncRNA from 1 species
UGGGGCCGCCGCGACUGCCCCGUGAGGCUUUGGCCCAAAGUCGC